GUUUACGCGAUUCGUUCACCGCUCAUUUGUGAGCGCAAAAGACAUGACCGGCAGAUCAGGCGCAUCAUCUCUAAGGGUUGGAAGCGUAUUCUGUGAGACUUUGAAAGACGAACAUUUCGUUGUUCUGCGGCGUGCGUUCAACCUGCAGGACACAUUUUUAGAGAGCAACUUCCACUUCAGCCAGCUGGGGAACGGAGGUGGAAAAGGGGGCGAUCUGAUUGCCCGCACAGUUGAUGGCAGGUUUUUCGUAAAGCAACUCAACGUCGGCGACGCAAAAACACUUCUCCAAGACAACUUUUUAUCGUCGUAUGUGGCUCGAGUUAAGGAGGUAAGGUCCAAUGUUGUUCUGUCUCAUUUCUAUCUUUUACCUUCCAUCCCCACCAGGGCGCAACCCUGAUCUGCAAAAUUGUCGCUGCUUUCACACAUGAUUCGCUCGGACGUUUUAUUGUUGUGGCCAACUGCUUACCGGCGAAUAUUAAAACUUGGAACGGGUUGUAUGACCUGAAAGGGUCAGCCGAUGAUAAAGUUCUCAUAGAUGAUGGCGUAACUGUUAUCGAAGCCCACAAAAGGUGCUGGAAACUUAGCUGGAUGGCAUCGGAAGCGUUGGGCUGCGACCGCUGCAUCCCGGUGACGCGUCGACGCUACUUGUCCGGUAAACGGAAGGCCUACGAUAUGCCGAUUUACCUAACGAAAGAGCAGAAACGUGAAGUUAUGGAGCUUCUCCGGGAAGACGUUGCCUUCCUUACAAAUCAUGGUCUGAUGGACUACUCGUUGAUAAUGGCUGUCCAUGGGCCUCCCUUAGGAACAUACCAGCUGACGGCAUCGGACUCGGCGAAUAUUCUUCAUUCCAAAUCAUAUGUAUCAUACCAUCGUGGUAGCGUGUCUGUGGUAUACUUCGGAAUAAUCGAUUUCCUGCAGGUAUAAAAUCGUUUUGAACUACAACCACUGGUGCUUUUUACUGGCAACUUCGUCCUAUACCGGUGACACAGGCUUGGACGGUCACUAAGCUUUGCGCGCACCACAUAAAAGCAUGCUGUGCUCCUACUCCAAUAUCAACGAUACCACCUCGACUGUAUGGAAGGCAAUUUCUGAACCAUUUUGAGUGGAAGUGGGUGACUUAUUUCAG
rnacentral:lncRNA from 1 species